ensembl:miRNA
UCUUACUCUGUAUUCCCUAGUCUUGGUGAUCUCAUACUUUAAUGAUGAUCUCAGAAGACAGGUAGGUAGACAGACAG